AUGAUCGAAUCUGUUCCUACUAGCCGUGGAAUUCAAGGAUAUUCAUAUACCUCUGUCACCCUAAAGAAAAUAGCUACAGUGAUACCUGCAAAGCUGCAGCGCCAGAAUUACUUUUCCUGGAAGCUACUUUUCGAGCAAAUCUUUAGUCGUUCCAAGCUCAUGGGAAUUAUUGAUGGCAGCGAACCUUCUCCAGCUCAGUUCUUGACCGACAAGGAAGGAAAUGAUCUCACUGAUCAAAUUAAUCCAGCCUUUGAGAUUUGGCACGACAAGGAUCAGGCCAUGUUAACCUGGAUGAGGUCAACAUUACAGGAGAAACCUGGGGCCGCUGCUUUAGCAACAACCGACAUUUGCGAUGCACAUCCUGACCUUCUGGCCAGUGGAGACCUGCGUCUUGUGCCGCAAGUGUUCCAGAAAUAUGGAAAAUGGCAGGCAUUCGCAGGCCCUGUCGUGACGCUGAAGGUGUUUGAGGACAAUACUUUGGUUAUAGAGCUUCUCUCCACGAAGGGCGAGGGUAGGGUUUUAGUGGUUGAUGGAGGAGGAAGCAUGCGACGUGCUGUCACCGGAGGGAUGCUGGCUCGGUCGGCUGAGAUUAUGGGAUGGGUCUGGCCAAAAGCAUGUUCCUGUAAGUAUUGGAGGGGUCUUGAUUCACGAGGGAGAAUGGUUGUAUGCGGAUGGAGAUGGCAAUGGCAUCCUUGUCUCCUCAUCCGAACUGUCUAUUUGAACCCUAAUUA